rnacentral:tRNA from 3 species
GCGGGAAUAGCUCAGUUGGCUAGAGCACGAGCCUUCCAAGCUCGGGGUCGCGGGUUCGAAUCCCGUUUCCCGCUCCA